CAAGAUGGACCGCUGCUUCCUGGAGCUGAUGCUGGAGGGUGAGGAGGCCUACACCACCUACCUGCGUGUGAUUGAGAACGCCAACGUCAUCAUGGCCACCUACCAGGAUGAGGCCAUGGGCGACAUCCAGGUCUACCCCGACAAGUCGACCGUGUCCUUCUCCGCCGGUCUGCACGGCUGGGCUUUCACCCUGACCACCUUCGCGCGCAUGUACGCGUCGAAGUUCGGCACUGAUGAGGCCCGCAUGAUCACCAAGCUGUGGGGCGACAACUUCUUCGACCCCGCCACCAAGAAGUGGACCACCAAGCAGACCGACUCGCCCAGCUGCAAGCGCGGCUUCGUGCAGUUCAUCUACGAGCCCAUCAAGCAGAUCAUCGAGCUGGCCAUGAAGGACGCCAAGGACAAGCUGUGGCCCAUGCUGGAGAAG
rnacentral:lncRNA from 1 species